GGAGAAACCUGCCGCCGCUCGCCGCCUCUUUGUCUGCUCCCGGACUUGGAACAAAAGGGGGAACUCUGAUGAACUCUCUUUCCUCCCCUCUCCCCGGACGCCGGGGUAUCUCCCUCUCGCAACUUUGCCGCCGCGACUUUCUCUGCUGUCAGGCCAGGAAAAAGUGUCCGAACGCCUCGCGGACUGCAGCGGGGGAAAUGUCCCUUAAAAGUGCGACGAAGUGGGGAAGAAGGUGUCAUUACUAUUAUCAGCAUCUAUAAAGCAUCAUGCACUUGCUGGAGUACUUCCUAGCACUGACCUCCUUCCUUCGGCGUUGUUCUUACUGGAUCUUUCUAUCAGCCAACAAUAUGGAGGUACCAAUACAAGGUCAAGGCAUUCCUGGAUUCAUCUGGAGUAACUGAACAGUUAAAUCAUUCGAAGUUUUGGUGAUACCUUUUCUAUAUGGAUUACAAUUUGAUCUCUGGGAAUUCUCCACUGUAAAAAAGUACCCUCAGGUGACUGCAGAUGUGUUAACCAGCAUGUUCGGGUAGGAGACUUUCUGGACGGGGAAGAUUUCCAGGAAUCUGCAACAAUCUCAUUUUACUGGUGGGUUUGCUGAAGCUUUAUCACAAGACAGUCAGAAUGAUUGAUGAGUGUUCUUCAGGUGUGAAUCAUGGCAAUACAGUGAAAGAUGGUGAUUUAUUGCUUUUGAGGGCAUGCAUGUAUAUGAUUAACGGAUGGAAGUGCAGGGCUCCAAGAUUUACUUCUUUCCCUUUCCAGUAGAGUUACCUGAGAGGAGUAAAAUCUGCUGGUGGAGUCACUCCAUUAUUCUUAUCUGUGGAGAUCUGGAUCUUGAUUUGAAAGUUUCUGAGAAAAUCUUCAGCUCAGACUUGAGGUCAACUUUACCACCUGAAGGAUCUGCAUUUGCUGCUCAACCACAUCUAAUUUGAUGCCCUCUGCAGAUUUAAAAUGUAUGCCUUCUUUUCCAUCACCAAGUCAUCUCUGGGUUACUACUGAACAUCUUUCUCACCUCCCUGCGACCCAUGGAUGGCUGUUCUCCAUUGUCUGUUUCACCAGAUGUCCUCAAAACAAACAGACAGAAGAAGGAAGUGGCUAAUGGAGCCGUGGAGUCCAAGUGUGACUGCCAAGAGGAAUCCUGCAAAGCCAAAGAGCUCGAGCAUGUAGCCCUGCCCGAAGCCUGCCACACGCAUGGAAAACCCAGAGGAAAUGAGUGAGGAUCAAUGGGAAGAAGGGAGCCAGCCAGG